ACUAACAUCUGAAAUUUAUAAGAUGGAAAAUUUGUUUACUAAGGGCAUUUGACAGUGCUUUCUGUCAACUUCACUGUUGUGCUAUGGCUUAUGGUCAGUCACUUACUGUUUUCUUUAUAUAGGUGUUUUAUACAGCAUUGGACAAGAGAAGACUACUUAAACUCAAUGCAGAAUGCAGAACUGAUAAAUGCAUCCAGGACAAAUGUUGAGGGCCUACAGUCACUGGCUCAAGUUUUGUGAUGUGCUGUUUGUAACUGGACAGGCCUGGAAGUGGCUUAGUACCUUCCACUCCUAUUUUAAGAUCUGUCUUUGAUUUUGGAGGCCUGGUUCUCCCCUCGGUAAUUCUGCUGGAACCAUUGGCAUUGCAUCAUGGAAAUUAGCUUCAUAGGUCAAGAUUAAUCAGUUGUGACCUUGGAACACAGCUCUUCUCUUCAUCAGAGCCUUUGUCCCUGAAGAGCUUAAUACACUCCUGUAUGAGUUUACAUCAUGUAUGGACUUUGAUGCUGGAAAGCUCCUGGAAACAGAAGCUCAUGGUUAAACUGAAGUUGCAAGGCAUGAGCUUGAGAAGGUUUUCAGGAGGAGAAGGGAUGAUUGACCAGUUAGAGCAGCUGGAUAGUUCCUUGCACGAUUGAGCACAUCUCUCCAUUAGCUACAAAUAGCUAGAUGAUACCAGAUUGCAACAACUGGAACUAGCAGGCCUGCUUCAAAGGUGGUCCCAGGCAGGACGGGCAUGGAGAAUUCAUCAGCUUUUUCACUACCUGACGACGGUCUCCUCGCUUCAGGUCAGGUCCCAAAGGGAAGGCGCUGGCGUGCCUGCAAGGUAAGGCGGCACUGGUGUGUGCCAAGGCAGGGCGAAGGAGUGUCACAGCUGGGCCCACGCUGUGGACGGACACCGGAUGUGGCUACGUGGAGCUGCCAAGCCCAGUGCUUUCACUGAUGCUGCUGUGCUAUUCCGGGUGCCUUUUCCCAGGCUGGCGCAGCA